UCCCUGGUGGCCUAGUGGAUAGGAAUUGGCACUCUCACUGCUUCAGUCCAGGUUCAAUCCCUGGUCUGGGAA
rnacentral:tRNA from 1 species